ensembl:lncRNA
CAACCACCAAUAAUGUUGUAGCUACUACCGCCACACAACAAUUUAGCAAAUCAAAGUUAACUAUACAAUUGGUUUGAAAUGCCUUUGACUGUCAAAGAUUACACAUGGACACAGACAGAAACGAUUGUUUACAUAAAUGUACCAUUAAAAGGAGUACAUUUCCCCCGUUUUUAUUUGAAGCCUUCCUGUUUGAGCCGAUAGAUGAUGACAAAAGCACAGCAAAAAUUGGAAAUGGAGUUGCAGUUUUCACAUUGCAGAAAAAGGAGACUGUGGGAGAACCUUGUGAUUACUAACAAUCAGAAAAACAGUGUUCAAUCAAUCAGCAAGAAAAAAACAGGUGGAUUUGCCAGCUCCAAGAUCCACAGGCAACAUUCAAAUCAAGUUCACACCACUAGUGUUUCCCACAGCCCUACGAGAAUCAAG